rfam:Flavobacterium branchiophilum FL-15, complete genome.
UAAUAGCCCAGAUUGAAGUGGAAAGCAAAACGGCAGCAAAGGGAUUUUUUUGUUGCCACAAAAGAGCGACCAGCGGAAGCUCCUUUUGUGGUUUACAAAAAACCCUUUGCUGCUGUUUUGCUUGAAACGUAAAGCUGGAAGUGGC